rnacentral:lncRNA from 1 species
UACCAAGUGUAUUAAUGAUAAUAUAUUACGAGUUAUGUGGUUAAAAUAUUUUAAAUUCCAGACUAUAUAAUGAAGAUGCUCAUUUAUAUCAACAAUAUGGAACUAUUGAUAAUAAACCAAAUUAUGAUAAAAAUGUGUUGACCAAGCGUGCUGCUCGUUUUUCAUCCCAAGGAAAUCCAAAAAAAAAGCCUCGUCAAGUGUUAAAGUUUGAUAAUCAUACACCAAAAUCAAUUACUAAUAAUGAUAUUGAAUUUUAUAUAGAUUCUUGUCAUGUUGUUGGAACAUGCACGGAUUUGGAAAAAAAAUAUUUAAGAUUAACAGCGGUUAGUUGUGUUUGCUAUACUUAUUAUGUUAAUUAUAUUAAUUAAAAUUCCUUGCAUACAAAUUAUAAUUAAACAGGCUCCAGAUGCUGAUGCUGUAAGACCUUUAAGAAUUUUAGUAAAAUCAUUGCAGCAUGUCAAGUCUAAAUGGAUAAAUGAUAGCAACUAUCUUUUUACGUGUGACCAGUUAAAGUCAAUUAGACAAGAUUUAACAGUAAGAUCUGGUAUUUUAGUUUAAUUAUUGUAAAUAUUUUUUAUCAAUUAUCUUCCUUAAAGGUUCAAGGUAUUAGAGAUUCAUUCACAGUUGAAGUUUAUGAAACUCACGCAAGGAUUGCUUUAGAAAAAAGUGACAUGGGUGAAUUUAAUCAAUGUCAAACUCAAUUAUCCGAUUUAUAUGAGGAAUUAAAAGAUAAUCCCAUUGCUCAAAAGCAUCGUAAUGAAUUUCUCUGUUAUAAUAUAUUGUAUUGUAUAUAUACAAGAACUUUAUGUGGUAAUUAUAAUGUUUAUCAUUAAAUUAUUAUUCAUCAUGCACUUAUGAAUUUCUAUAAUUUUGUAUAGAGUUAAACAAUAUCAUAUUGUAUAUCAAGGAGUUUAAUAUCAAAGAUGAGUGUAUAGAUUUUGCAUUGAACGUCAAAGACGCAUGGUGGUUAAGCAAUCAUGUUGAACUAUUUUUUUUGUACAAAAUUGCUCCUAAAAUGGCUGCAUACUUAAUGGAUAUGUUUUUGGCUAGAGAACGCAAUAACUUCUUUUUGGCUAUUGCCAAAUCGUAUGUAUUAAAACAAUUCUUAAUAUACUUAAAUUAAUAUUUUGCAGGGCGUUACAUAAUUUGUACAGGUAUUAAAUGUGCUAUACACUACAUAAUUUUUUUUCAAAUUAAAUUUUUAUGGGUUAAGAUUGGGAUCGUUUGUGUUUGUUUAUGUUACUUAAACUAUUAUAGAUAUAUUCAAUUUAAAAAAAAAUAAUAAUAAGUAAUUACCAAUAAAAUUAAUAAUUCAAAUUAGAUUUGGGUAAUUUAUAUCAUUACAAAUUAAAUAAAUAUUAUUUUUUUAAUGUAUUCUUAUCAUAAUAUUACAUUUUUUAUUAAGUUUUAGUUUUACUGCUUUAUACUAUUUGUUUAAUAUUUCUUGCUAGUUAAUAAUUGCAGAUUUUUAAAGAUAAUUUUAUUAUGAUAUAACAGUUACCGCCCAACUAUUCCAAUCUCGACCAUUCAAGAUCAAAUGGCAUUCGAUAAGCGAGAGGAUUGUUUGGCUUUUCUUAAGGCUGCAGGCGCGGUAUUAACUUCCAAUAAUGAGAACAUCGACUGCAAAGCAAGCUGCGGUUCGACCGAAGCUUGACUUUCAGAAUGGUGUCGUUCCUAUGCCUACAUAACCACAUAUAAUAUAUAUA